UACGGAGAGUGCAAGCAUUAAUCGGAAUGAUUGGGCGUAAAGGGCGCGUAGGCGGGAUAGCAAGUCAGAUGUGAAAUACUGAAGCUCAACUUCAGUGCUGCAUUUGAAACUGCCAUUCUUGAGGGUUGACGGAGAAAACGGAAUUCCACGUGUAGCGGUGAAAUGCGUAGAUAUGUGGAAGAACACCCGUGGCGAAAGCGGUUUUCUAGUUGAUACCUGACGCUGAGGCGCGAGAGCAAGGGGAG
rnacentral:rRNA from 1 species